UAGGGAGUGGAUUUGAAGCAGGGAUGCAGUUGCCUGGUUUUCAUUAAUUGGGUCUACGAGGGUUUCUAUUUUCUCCCAGAAUACCGAUUGAUCUAGGGCACCUUGCACUGGAGAGGAAGUGGAGCUGGAGGGGAGGCAGGCAGGAGGGAUGGAGUGCCUGCUACCCCCAUCUUCUCCUUCCUCCUCCAAAACCUGGGCUCAGCAGUUUCUGCUCCUGAAUGACUUGGUUUCCCUGCUUGGUGCAGCGCCCAUGAACCUCUGGCAGGAGACAGGGAUUGUUUCCUGCUUACCCACAGUGCACUGCGCAGCCUCUGUGUGACAAACUAAGGCUAGAGUGGCCUGCAUCACCUGAAUCCUCAUUGGAAGAAGGCCCUGGCCUUGGCAGAGGUGGCUCCUGUCCCGGCAAGCCAAGGAAAGUAUGCAGCAAACUUCAGACAGACAUUGCUCUGUCAUCCUUACCAGGUCCUGGGGGUGAGCCCUGCCCUGUGUCUGUUUCACAGAAGAGGAAAUUGAGGCCUGGGAGGUGAAGGGACCUGCAGAAGGCCGCCCUGGGGUCCUCGGCAGGGUGACAGACUCCGCCCUGGCUCUGCUCUCAGCCCCCCACCUCCUGCUUCCUUUCUGCCCAUGUUCCUCCUGAGCAUGGGGCGGGGCCCCUCUAAGUUUUCUAUGGCUUCGGGGGAGUCUGGGACAGCCAGCACCCGGCGGUCCCUAGCUCAGCUACCUGACCGUCACAGUCUGCCUCAAGCGGUAAAGUCGCCAUUUUUCUCUAUGAACUCUGUAACACACCUUAACUUUUGUAGAUGGACUACAUCAAGAUGCUCAAUCAAGACGGCAGACGUGGGAGGGGAGACGGUUUCUGGGCUUCACCAAGCUGUGGCAGCCUUUCCACCAGUGGGAUUUCUCUGCUUCUGUAGGAUUGUUUCUCAAGU